GAUGAACGCUGGCGGCGUGCCUAAUACAUGCAAGUCGAGCGAACAGACGAGGAGCUUGCUCCUCUGACGUUAGCGGCGGACGGGUGAGUAACACGUGGAUAACCUACCUAUAAGACUGGGAUAACUUCGGGAAACCGGAGCUAAUACCGGAUAAUAUAUUGAACCGCAUGGUUCAAUAGUGAAAGACGGUUUUGCUGUCACUUAUAGAUGGAUCCGCGCCGCAUUAGCUAGUUGGUAAGGUAACGGCUUACCAAGGCAACGAUGCGUAGCCGACCUGAGAGGGUGAUCGGCCACACUGGAACUGAGACACGGUCCAGACUCCUACGGGAGGCAGCAGUAGGGAAUCUUCCGCAAUGGGCGAAAGCCUGACGGAGCAACGCCGCGUGAGUGAUGAAGGUCUUCGGAGCGUAAAACUCUGUUAUUAGGGAAGAACAAAUGUGUAAGUAACUAUGCACGUCCUGACGGUACCUAAUCAGAAAGCCACGGCUAACUACGUG
rnacentral:rRNA from 1 species